rnacentral:rRNA from 1 species
AACGAACGCUGGCGGCAUGCCUAACACAUGCAAGUCGAACGAAACCUUCGGGUCCUUUGGCGCACGGGUGCGUAACGCGUGGGAACCUGCACUUAGGUUUGGCAUAACUCCACGACUGGGGUGCUAAUACCGGACCAUGUCUUCGGCCCAAGGAUUUAUUGCCUUUGGAUGGGCCCGCGUUGGAUUAGCUAGUUGGGAGGGUAAAAGCCUACCAAGGCGACGAUCCAUAGCUGGUCUGAGAGGAUGAUCAGCCACACUGGGACUGAGACACGGCCCAGACUCCUACGGGAGGCAGCAGUGGGGAAUAUUGGACAAUGGGCGAAAGCCUGAUCCAGCAAUGCCGCGUGAGUGAUGAAGGCCUUAGGGUUGUAAAGCUCUUUUACCCGGGAUGAUAAUGACAGUACCGGGAGAAUAAGCUCCGGCUAACUCCGUG